UUCGAUGGUAGACAAUGGCAGGGAGGCUUUACGCCUGCCGGUUCUGAUUAACGGUCUUCCAGCCUUGCCAUUCUUCUACCGCCCGA
rfam:Snodgrassella alvi SCGC AB-598-O11 SCG598O11_13298, whole genome shotgun sequence.